rnacentral:rRNA from 1 species
AUUGAACGCCGGCGGCAGGUCUAACACAUGCCAGUCGAAUUGUAACAGGAAGCUGCUUGCUGCUUUGUUGACGUGUGUCGGACGGGUGAGUAAUGUCUGUGAAACUGCCCGAUGGAGGGGGAUAACUACUGGAAACGGUAGCUAAUACCGCAUAACGUCGCAAGACCAAAGAGGGGGACCUUAGGGCCUCUUGCCAUCGGAUGUGCCCUGAUGGUCUUAGCUAGUAGGUGGGGUAACGGCUCACCUAGGCGACGAUCCCUAGCUGGUCUGAGCGGAGGACCAGCCACACUGAGACUGAGACGCGGACCAGACUCCUACGGGGGGCAGCAGUGGGGAAUAUUGCACAAUGGGCGGAAGCCUGAUGAAGGCAUGACGCGAGUAUGAAGAAGGGCUUCGGGUUGUAAAGUACUUUCAGCGGGGAGGAAGGGAGUAGAGUUAAUACCUUUACUCAUUGACGUUGCCAGCAGAAGAAGCACAGGCUAACUCCGUG